rnacentral:rRNA from 1 species
CAUUUCUAGCUUGCUAGAAGAUGACGAGCGGCGGACGGGUGAGUAACGCGUAGGAAUCUGCCUAGUAGUGGGGGACAACAUGUGGAAACGCAUGCUAAUACCGCAUACGCCCUACGGGGGAAAGGAGGGGAUCUUCGGACCUUUCGCUAUUAGAUGAGCCUGCGUGAGAUUAGCUAGUUGGUGGGGUAAAGGCCUACCAAGGCGACGAUCUCUAGCUGGUCUGAGAGGAUGAUCAGCCACACUGGGACUGAGACACGGCCCAGACUCCUACGGGAGGCAGCAGUGGGGAAUAUUGGACAAUGGGCGCAAGCCUGAUCCAGCCAUGCCGCGUGUGUGAAGAAGGCCUUAGGGUUGUAAAGCACUUUCAGGAGUGAGGAAGGGUGUGCAGUUAAUACCUGUAUGUUUUGACGUUAACUCCAGAAGAAGCACCGGCUAACUCUGUGCCAGCAGCCGCGGUAAUACAGAGGGUGCGAGCGUUAAUCGGAAUUACUGGGCGUAAAGCGCGCGUAGGCGGUUUGUUAAGUCGGAUGUGAAAUCCCAGGGCUCAACCUUGGAAUGGCACCCGAUACUGGCAGGCUAGAGUACGGUAGAGGGGUGUGGAAUUUCCUGUGUAGCGGUGAAAUGCGUAGAUAUAGGAAGGAACAUCAGUGGCGAAGUCGUCCCCCUGGACCGAUACUUACCCU